rnacentral:rRNA from 1 species
AUGUGCAUUCUUACAACAUAGUGUUAAAGCAUUGGAUCCCAUUAGAACUCCACAAUUAAGCGCGCUUGGGAUAAAUUAGUACUGGGAUGGGUGAUCACCCGGGAAGUCCUAGUGUUUUACAUC